rnacentral:lncRNA from 1 species
AAUUGAUGAGUUUGAGAUAGAAUAUGACACAUCUCCUCUUAUAUUAGAUCCCUCUCUAAAAUAACAGAUCCUCUGCCCUAUCUCUAAAAAACCGAUACUCUUCUUCUUUCUCCCUCACAUCAAAACUUUUCCAGCCACCAUGUAGCUUCUGGAACUGGUGGUGCGAAACUCCUUUUCCACCUCUAAUCUCUUUUGAGGUUGACACCCACUCCACCCUUCACCCUCUCUGGGUUGCAUCAGAUUUGAUUUCUUCUUCUCUAGUUUGGUUCUGGCGACGGUCGCUCCAGGAGGAUCGUCAAUCGACUGCUUUAGAUCCGAAGUCGUGAUCUUUUCCCAUCCUUUGGUUGGUUUAUUCUUGUUGACUGUUUUAUGCUGUAACUCGGUUGCAGUGCUCUCCUAGGUGGCACUUUCGACGUUUGUGGAAGCUCAUUCUCUAAUGGGUUUACUGCAAGUUUGUAUUUCUGGUACAAAGUUGAUAUCUUGAGUUUUUGAUUCUCUUAUUGGCUUCAAAUCUGUUGAGAUCUGCAAAUUUCAAAAUUUAAGAUUUGCCUCUUUGUAAUGACACUAACUUAAUAUCCACAUCAGUCUUGAAAUUGAUGUGAGAUUGUUUUCAUAUCUGCAUCAUUCUAUUUGAUGUUGGAUUGUUGCUGGGUUUUUUCAAGAGGUUUUUGGUUCGUGAAUCAGUCUGUGGCGGUUAGUUCAUACAUUAUGCUGAAAAGUGAAUGCUCACACUAGACUAUUUUUUACUUUUUGGUUUCGCGCCCAUAAACGGGUUCGUCGGAUACUGUAUGUCGUGUGUGCUCUUUUACUUUAGUUAUUUUUAAAAAAACCACUUUGAUGUAUUUGAUUUAUUUGCAUACCCUUCCGUGAUGGUUUCGUGGUUUGACUAGGUUUGGUUUAUGUCUCUCAGGACUUUGUAAUUUUUUGAUUUCGGUAAGUUGGUGUGUUUUGGUUUUUUGACCUUGUCUUUUUUUCUUCUAAAUAAAAUUCUUAAAUUAAAUAUUGAAUUUCAUUUGAUUGGAUUUUUUUUUAAAAUAACCAAAUUUUUAAAAAAAAAUCGAAAAUAACCAAGUUUGUAGAGGAUGCGCCAGAUGAAUUGGCACACCCCCCAAACCAGUAAGAGGAGGCGCCAGAUGCAUUGGCGCACAUGCAUUGGGCCUCAUGAAGAGACGCCAAUGCUUGUGGCCCCUGCAUGGCCCUCCAAGAGGAGGCGACAAUGCCUCUGGCGCCUGUGUGUGUUUUGUGUGCUGGCGCUAAUGGUCCUGGCGCCUGUGUGUAAUGUUCAUGUGGACGCCAUUUCAACUGGCGGCCACGUGUUUUUUCCAAUACAUCUUCCGUCUCUAUAAAUACCAUGUCUUGCAUACAAUUAUUUUCACUCAAAUUCAUCUCAUAGUCUAGUUCAUUCAUCAAUUUCAAUUUUCUUUGUUUCAACAAUGUCUGCAUACAUUCAGAAACGAAAUGUUGAUGUAAUAUUUUCUGCCGUUGCGGCUCCGAUACAGGUUCGACUUUGGAACACAGAUACGUUUGAACAUCUUAAUCGGAUGUUGCACAGUUGGUUAGAGGGAGAAAUUGGAGAGGGUGAACGGAUUAGAAGAAUACAAUGGCUUGUGUCCACGUUCAACCAAAACGGAGAAGUGCACGAAUGGGUGGAUAUUAAGACCGACCAAGACGCUCGUAGGAUGAUGCAUUACAUGUUCAAAAUUGUUUUGAUGGUUGUAAUCGCAUAGUUUUUGUAUUCUAGUUGUUUUAAUUGUUUGUGUUAUUUUAAUGGGUGGAUAUUAAGACCGACCAAGACGCUCGUAGGAUGAUGCAUUACAUGUUCAAAAUUGUUUUGAUGGUUGUAAUCGCAUAGUUUUUGUAUUCUAGUUGUUUUAAUUGUUUGUGUUAUUUUUUAAGAACAACUGUCUUUUCGUCACAGACGUCUACUAUGAAGUAAAUUUAGUUGUCCAUACAUUGCAACAAAGGUACUUUGAAAUAAAUUUAGUUUUCCAUAUAUAGCAAUAGAGGUAC